GACGAACGCUGGCGGCGUGCUUAACACGUGCAAGUCGAACGGAAAGGCCCUGCUUUUGUGGGGUGCUCGAGUGGCGAACGGGUGAGUAACACGUGAGUAACCUGCCCUUGACUUUGGGAUAACUUCGGGAAACUGGGGCUAAUACCGGAUAGGAGCUCCUGCUGCAUGGUGGGGGUUGGAAAGUUUCGGCGGUUGGGGAUGGACUCGCGGCUUAUCAGCUUGUUGGUGGGGUAGUGGCUUACCAAGGCUUUGACGGGUAGCCGGCCUGAGAGGGUGACCGGCCACAUUGGGACUGAGAUACGGCCCAGACUCCUACGGGAGGCAGCAGUGGGGAAUAUUGCACAAUGGGCGGAAGCCUGAUGCAGCAACGCCGCGUGCGGGAUGACGGCCUUCGGGUUGUAAACCGCUUUCGCCUGUGACGAAGCGUGAGUGACGGUAAUGGGUAAAGAAGCACCGGCUAACUACGUG
rnacentral:rRNA from 1 species